UUCGGCCUCUGUGACGUCAUAUUGCAGCGCCCGCUCCAGGCUACUUGAAGGGAGCCGCCGGUUCUUCACCUAUUGCCCUACGGCGGGGGUCAUCUCUUUUUCUGUUUUUCGCGGGAAGGCCCAAGACGACAAACUGAGGAAAUGCCUUGCAAGGACAUGGGGAGACGGCAGCUAGAGUCCUGACCAGAAACCAAAUCUGCUGGAAACUGGAUUGUGAACUUCUAGCCUCAGGAACUGUGUGACACAUUCUCAUAUGUUCCCACAGAAAGACGGACUUGAUCAUCCUUACAGACUUUUACAACAUGCAGUCUUCUCUACAAGCAGAUCUGCUGCACCAGAUGUGGGAACUGUCACCUUCUUCAUCAUACUGUACCUGCAUGGAGAUCAUACUGGAGUUUCUCCCAUUUCACUGUCCCUGACAGACUAAUCUCUCGUCUUGCCACUAACAGCUUCUUCCUUAAUUCUACACUCUUUAUGUUAUCGGCAAAACUUCUGGUCAACAGUAGACUAUUAAUAGUUAGGUUAUGGGGUAUCAUUUAAGGGGUCCUAAUGGACCACCUUCCUCCUGAAUCAAGACUCUGGCAGGUUUGCCUUUAGUUUUACUUAGAACAUCUGGCUACACCUUAUUAUUGCUACAGUGCCUACCUACAGAAAUUUAGAAAACCUAAUCUCUACCGUGCCCUGUUUAUUGCUAACAUGGAAAAAUCACAAAAGUAGCCUGGUGAUAAACCUUUACAUUAACAUAAUGUGCCCAGUUUACCCAAUUUUCCACUCACUAGUCUCCAACAAAUACCUUCUGACCUUGAUCUUCAUGUGGCUGGUUUUAGGCCAAUCUUUUGACAGUUCCCAUAUGGCUGUGCAUAUUUCCAAUUUUGUGGCAUGUUUCUUCAUCAUCUUCUUCAAAGCCUAGCUAUAUCUCUUGCAACGUAAGGUACUUUGUGAUACUAUCAUUCUCCAUUCCUUCUAUACCACUUUAGGUUACUUUUCUUCUCAACUUCUAAAACACAGUUGACUGUUAAACAACAUGGGAGGUUAGGGGUGCCAACCCCCCCUUCCCUGUGGUUGAAAAUACACAUUAUGGGGCGCCUGGGUGGCGCAGUCGGUUAAGCGUCUGACUUCGGCUAGGUCACGAUCUCGCGGUCCGUGAGUUCGAGCCCCGCGUCAGGCUCUGGGCUGAUGGCUCAGAGCCUGGAGCCUGUUUCCGAUUCUGUGUCUCCCUCUCUCUCUGCCCCUCCCCCGCUCAUGCUCUGUCUCUCUCUGUCCCAAAAAUAAAUAAACGUUGAAAAUACACAUUAACUUUUGACUUACCCAAAACCUAACUAUUAAUAGUCUACUGUUGACCAGAAGCCUUGCCGAUAACAUAAAGACAUUAACACAUAUUUUGUCUGUUAUAUGUGUUAUAUACUGUAUUCUUAUUUAAAAAAAAAAAAAGUAGA